UCAGUCGACUCCUACGGGGAGGCAGCAGUGGGGAAUAUUGCACAAUGGGGGAAACCCUGAUGCAGCCAUGCCGCGUGUGUGAAGAAGGCCUUCGGGUUGUAAAGCACUUUCAGUAGGGAGGAAGGUAGUGUAGUUAACACCUGCACUAUUUGACGUUACCUACAGAAGAAGCACCGGCUAACUCCGUGCCAGCAGCCGCGGUAAUACGGAGGGUGUGAGCGUUAAUCGGAAUUACUGGGCGUAAAGCGCAUGCAGGCGGCCUGUUAAGUCAGAUGUGAAAGCCCGGGGCUUAACCUCGGAAUUGCAUUUGAAACUGGCAGGCUAGAGUCUUGUAGAGGGGGGUAGGAAUUUCAGGUGUAGCGGUGAAAUGCGUAGAGAUCUGAAGGAAUACCAGUGGCGAAGGCGGCCCCCUGGACAAAGACUGACGCUCAGAUGCGAAAGCGUGGGGAGCAAACAGGAUUAGAUACCCUGGUAG
rnacentral:rRNA from 1 species